rnacentral:rRNA from 1 species
UACGUAGGGUGCAAGCGUUGUCCGGAAUUAUUGGGCGUAAAGAGCUCGUAGGCGGUUUGUUGCGUCGGCUGUGAAAUCCCGGAGGCUCAACCUCGGGUCUGCAGUCGAUACGAGCAAACUAGAGUGUUGCAGGGGAGACUGGAAUUCCUGGUGUAGCGGUGAAAUGCGCAGAUAUCAGGAGGAACACCGAUGGCGAAGGCGCUCUGCUAGGCCGC